UACAGAGGUCUCAAGCGUUGUUCGGAUUCAUUGGGCGUAAAGGGUGCGUAGGCGGCGCGGUAAGUCGGGUGUGAAAUCUUGGAGCUUAACUCCGAAACUGCAUUCGAUACUGCCGUGCUUGAGGACUGGAGAGGAGACUGGAAUUUACGGUGUAGCGGUGAAAUGCGUAGAUAUCGUAAGGAAGACCAGUGGCGAAGGCGGGUCUCUGGACAGUUCCUGACGCUGAGGCACGAAGGUCAGGGGAGCGAACGGG
rnacentral:rRNA from 1 species